AGAAUCAACGCUGGCGGCGUGCCUAACACAUGCAAGUCGCACGAGAAAGGGACUUCGGUCCUGAGUAAAGUGGCGCACGGGUGAGUAACACGUGACUAACCUACCCUUGAGUGGGGGAUAACCUAGGGAAACCUGGGCUAAUACCGCAUAAUACCUACGGGUCAAAGGAGCAAUUCGCUUUAGGAGGGGGUCGCGGCAGAUUAGUUAGUUGGCGGGGUAAUGGCCCACCAAGACAGUGAUCUGUAU
rnacentral:rRNA from 1 species